UACAGAGGGGGCAAGCGUUAUCCGGAAUUAUUGGGCGUAAAGGGCGCGUAGGCGGCCUGACAAGUGGAUGGUGAAAUCCCUCGGCUUAACCGAGGAACUGCCAUCCAGACUGUUUGGCUUGAGACCGGGAGAGGUGAGUGGAAUUCCCAGUGUAGCGGUGAAAUGCGUAGAUAUUGGGAGGAACACCAGUGGCGAAGGCGGCUCACUGGACCGGUACUGACGCUGAUGCGCGAAAGCGUGGGUAGCAAACAGG
rnacentral:rRNA from 1 species